GACGAACGCUGGCGGCGUGCUUAACACAUGCAAGUCGAACGGAAAGGCCCUGCUUUUGUGGGGUGCUCGAGUGGCGAACGGGUGAGUAACACGUGAGUAACCUGCCCUUGACUUUGGGAUAACUUCAGGAAACUGGGGCUAAUACCGGAUAGGAGCUCCUGCUGCAUGGUGGGGGUUGGAAAGUUUCGGCGGUUGGGGAUGGACUCGCGGCUUAUCAGCUUGUUGGUGGGGUAGUGGCUUACCAAGGCUUUGACGGGUAGCCGGCCUGAGAGGGUGACCGGCCACAUUGGGACUGAGAUACGGCCCAGACUCCUACGGGAGGCAGCAGUGGGGAAUAUUGCACAAUGGGCGGAAGCCUGAUGCAGCAACGCCGCGUGCGGGAUGACGGCCUUCGGGUUGUAAACCGCUUUCGCCUGUGACGAAGCGUGAGUGACGGUAAUGGGUAAAGAAGCACCGGCUAACUACGUGCCAGCAGCCGCGGUGAUACGUAGGGUGCGAGCGUUGUCCGGAUUUAUUGGGCGUAAAGGGCUCGUAGGUGGUUGAUCGCGUCGGAAGUGUAAUCUUGGGGCUUAACCCUGAGCGUGCUUUCGAUACGGGUUGACUUGAGGAAGGUAGGGGAGAAUGGAAUUCCUGGUGGAGCGGUGGAAUGCGCAGAUAUCAGGAGGAACACCAGUGGCGAAGGCGGUUCUCUGGGCCUUUCCUGACGCUGAGGAGCGAAAGCGUGGGGAGCGAACAGGCUUAGAUACCCUGGUAGUCCACGCUGUAAACGGUGGGUACUAGGUGUGGGGUCCAUUCCACGGGUUCCGUGCCGUAGCUAACGCUUUAAGUACCCCGCCUGGGGAGUACGGCCGCAAGGCUAAAACUCAAAGGAAUUGACGGGGCCCCGCACAAGCGGCGGAGCAUGCGGAUUAAUUCGAUGCAACGCGUAGAACCUUACCUGGGUUUGACAUGGAUCGGGAGUGCUCAGAGAAGGGUGUGCCUCUUUUGGGGUCGGUACACAGGUGGUGCAUGGCUGUCGUCAGCUCGUGUCGUGAGAUGUUGGGUUAAGUCCCGCAACGAGCGCAACCCUUGUUCACUGUUGCCAGCACGUUAUGGUGGGGACUCAGUGGAGACCGCCGUGGUCAACUCGGAGGAAGGUGGGGAUGACGUCAAGUCAUCAUGCCCCUUAUGUCCAGGGCUUCACGCAUGCUACAAUGGCUGGUACAGAGAGUGGCGAGCCUGUGAGGGUGAGCGAAUCUCGGAAAGCCGGUCUCAGUUCGGAUUGGGGUCUGCAACUCGACCUCAUGAAGUCGGAGUCGCUAGUAAUCGCAGAUCAGCAACGCUGCGGUGAAUACGUUCCCGGG
rnacentral:rRNA from 1 species